GCCAGUUUGGCUCAGUGGAUAGAGCGUCAGCCUGCAGACUGAAGGGUACUGGGUUCGAUUUCAGUCAAGGGCA
rnacentral:tRNA from 1 species